AGCGAACGCUGGCGGCGUGCCUAACACAUGCAAGUCGAACGGUUCUGUUGGGGGCUUGCUCUCGACAGAGUAGUGGCAAACGGGUGAGUAACACGUGGGUAAUCUUCCUUCGAGUGAGGAAUAACUUCGGGAAACCGGAGCUAAUACCGCAUAACAUCUUGGAACGGCAGUUUCAAGAUCAAAGGGGGCGCAAGCUCCCGCUUGAAGUUGAGCUCGCGUCCUAUCAGCUAGUUGGUGAGGUAAUGGCUCACCAAGGCUCCGACGGGUAGCCGGCCUGAGAGGGUGGCCGGCCACACUGGGACUGAGACACGGCCCAGACUCCUACGGGAGGCAGCAGUGGGGAAUAUUGCGCAAUGGACGAAAAUCUGACGCAGCGACGCCGCGUGGGUGAUGAAGGCCUUCGGGUCGUAAAGCCCUGUUGAGGGAGAGAAAGCUACUGUCGGUAAUACCGGCAGUGGUGAUAGUAUCCCUAGAGAAAGGACACCGGCUAACUACGUGCC
rnacentral:rRNA from 1 species